GUUUGGCAGCACCCCUGAGACGCUUUACAGCCCUAGACCCUAAAAGGUCAAAAGGCCGUCUUAUUCUCAAUAUACAUUUUAUUACCCAAUCUGCUCCCGACAUUAAAUAAAACUCCAAAAAUUAAAUUCCGGCCCUCAAACCCCACAACAGGACUUAAUUAACCUGGCCUUCAAGGUGUACAAUAAUAGAAAAAAGCUGCAAUUCCUUGCCUCCACUGUGAGACAAACCCCAGCCACAUCUCCAGCACACAAGAACUUCCAAACACCUGAACCACAGUGGCCAGGCAUUCCUCCAGAACCUACCCCAGGAGCUUGCUACAAGUGCCGGAAAUCUGGCCACUGGGCCAAGGAAUGCCCGCAGCCCAGGAUUCCUCCUAAGCCGCAUCCCAUCUGUGCAGGACCCACUGAAAAUUGGACUGUUCAACUCACCUGGCAGCCACUCCCAGAGCUCCUGGAACUCUGGCCCAAGGCUCUCUGACUCCUUCCCAGAUCUUCCCGGCUUAGCAGCUGAAGGCUGACACUGCCCAAUCGCCUCGGAAGACCCCUAAACCAUCACGGACGCCGACCUUCAGGUAACUCUCACAGUGGAAGGUAAGGAUGCUGUGAGAAGACGGAUGUCUAAACCAAGAAGCAAGAAAUGGACCCUCAUCAGAACAGAGUCUGCUGGCCCCUUGAUCUUGGACUUCCAGCCUUCAGAAGUGUGAGAGAUAACUGUUAGUUGUUCAUAAGCCACCCAGUUUAUGGUACUUCGUUAUGACAGCUUGCAAUGACUGGCAGCUGCCUUCCCUUUUCCUCCCCUUACUUCAUACUUAGCUUGACGAAGUUGGGUGUGGCAAAUAAUUUGGGAGUGGGGAUUUUUAUCUUGAACUUCCCUGACCCUCCAAGUCCCAUUAUGGUAACUGAGCAGAAGGCUACCCAGUCUCCUUUUUUGGAAUAUCUACUUUAAGAUUUCAUUUGUGAAGACUGAAAAGAGUGAGCUGCAGAUUUCAUUUUGCUGUUAUUUUAGUAGUGAAUCCUAAAUAUAAAAGGAUUAUUCUGAAACAAGUUUACAUGAAUUUUGUAAAGAAAAAAAUACAACAGAUCUAUUGUCAAGAAAGAUAUAAUUAAGUGAUGCAAAUGCAAUUGACGAAUUUGAAAUUAAUUAAUUUGACCUGGCUUACAAUAAUACAAAGAGUUACAAUGCCCCAAAAAAUUCCGUUAUGUUUUCUUCAUAGUCACAUGUAACUUUAAAUGCUCUUCACAGAAUGACAAGAUAGAAAAAUUGAAGUUAUAGCAGAGAUGCCAAGAUGCAGUAGGUAGAAAAUUCCAAAGUAAGUGGUCAGACAGUGUAGAUUACACAAGGAAAUUAAUAAAAACUCUGUACAGUGCUACACUUUUCCUGCUUUCAGGACAUAAAGGGUCAAGGGAGGAUAUGAUGGGUUUUCCUUUACCAAUAGCUAUCACUGUGCUUUCAGACUCAGCCCCUGGGGGUAGUGGGUGGAGGAGCUUCCUUCUUUUCCCAAGAGAGGUUGUAAGGCUGAGUUUCUAGUGGUCAGUGUCAGGGCAAGUGGCCAGAACCUGACUCACAGGGAAAGGUGGAAUAGGAAGGUGGCCCCAAUUAGCCUGCACUCCCAGUUAAUCUGAGUGAGCAAUGCUUCCUACACUCAGGCAUGGCCAUGCCAGAGCAAGAGAGCUGGGCCUGACCUCCUUUGAGUCUUGCCCAAGAAGGCUCCCGCCAGAGUGUGAGAGAAAUACAAUGGCAAGGAGGAUCCGUGGGACCUCAUAUUGUUGUUUUGCCAUGAACAUGCACCUUUCCUCAGCUGCCAGGGCCUGAUUGCUCUACGGGGAAGGGAAGGACGCCCCUAUUCCUGUGACCAUCCUUCCUCCUAGGUUCCUCUGCCCAGCCCCAUCAGAGGCUGUCUUCAAGUUCCAAGGGGGUUGGGAGGAAGGUUACUGUCACACUGGUGCAGGGUUGAUUUAAUGUUAAAUUCAGUUCAGAAUGGUGAUGAAAAUCCUAGACUGCAUAUUCUAAUUUCCAAACUCAGAUUGCAUUUGUAACUUAAAUAGAAGAUCUGUUGCUUAAGAACUAAUCUGGUAUUGAACCAGCCAGCCACAGUACUGUCACAGAGAUUGCCUACUGCCUGUGUUCAUUCUGACUGGCCAGUGUGUAUACCUGCUUAACAGUGAGCAAAAAUGUCAUGAGCCUGUCAGGAUUUUCUUCACAUACAGGUAGAGAUUACAAUACUAUAAGGAAAAACCUUUUAAAAUAUUGAAUAAAAUGUGAGAUUUCAAGCUUUUUAGACCAACUUAAUGUACUUCAAACUUGUUUGCAUGCUCUUUUGUAUUUUUUUAUCUGCUCUUUAAUCUAUGCUAUCGGUGUCACCAUUUGGAUUUCAA
rnacentral:lncRNA from 10 species